GUGCCCAAAAAUUCAGGUCCCCAUUGACUUCAAUGGGGUUUGGCUUCGGGGUCAAGUUCGGGCCAAGUUCAAACCCGAACUCAAACUUUUUGGAACUCAGGCCUAAAUUAAGUACAUCAGGUAUUCAGUGUUUGAGGUAAUCUGUUCAUUUUCAGUUACUCCACUUGUCCGCAAUGUUAUGUUUUGAUAUCCCUUUCUGUCACAAUGCCUACUUGCUCCAAAUUUGCUGCAGGCUAUCC